GUGAACGCUGGCGGCACGCCUAACACAUGCAAGUCGAACGAAGUAGAAAUACUUAGUGGCAGACGGGUGAGUAACAUGUAGGUAUCUACCCUUUGGCCUGGAAUAACACGAGGAAACUUGUGCUAAUACCGGAUAAGUCUUUACAGAGAAAGCUUUAUGCACCAUUGGAUGAGCCCGCACUUGAUUAGUUUGUUGGUAGGGUAAUGGCCUACCAAGACUAUGAUCAAUAGCUGAUUUGAGAGGAUGAUCAGCCACAUUGGGACUGAGACACGGCCCAAACUCCUACGGGAGGCAGCAGUGGGGAAUAUUGC
rnacentral:rRNA from 1 species